AUCAGCUACAGACUCCCACCUCAGUAUAGCGUCAUGUAUAAUGCCUCUGUCCGGUUAGAUGCCUCCUCUCUGGUUCCUACCUUACUCUUCAGUACCAGUCGACUUCUCUACCCACUCACCAUGUCUCCUAAUUCUUUUUUUCACUCACUUCUUCAUAUCCCCUCAGCUAGAACUCACUUUCCGUAUAAUUGUUUGGUUUACCGCAAUGCACUUUGGGAUGAGGGGGCAAUGCAAGCUCUGCCCCACUCACCAGGCUGAGCAGUGUUCUCUGGACUUGGGUGCUUGGCAGCCUUGGUAGCCAACCCAAAUUCAGCAUCACACUGAUGAAAAUACCCCGUAGAUUGUUAUAGGUCUGGAUUCUUCAAAGCCCCAAACUAACUACAUCAGCUCCGUGGUUGUCUUCAUCAUAGGAUGCCGAGGCAACAUCACACCUGACUUCCAGGUUUUCAGGAGACCGGAAGUAAAGGUGGUCCGCAAGUCUUCCCAUCGUCUUCACAGGGCUCCUUGGGAUGACUCAAAGUAUGGAAAAACGAAUCACCUAGAAGCCAGCAUGGCAAAAUAUUCUCCUCCUACCCUGCAAGGAAACUGGGGUUGGAAGUGCGCUUAGCCCCUUUGACAGAUACAAAUGAGCUGAGAGAAGCAAAUGACUGCUGGUCCUCUCCUUACAGUCAGUCCGCAGAUUCAAAACGAGGAGACUGAGGGAGCCCCAGCCACUCCUGCCGGGAGGAUGAGCACGUUAUUUAUUUAGCUUUAUGGAAACACUGGGGAAGCAUGUCUGGGAUGUGACAGGUGUGGGGUGAGUGUGUAGCCCUGUGCCAGGUACCCAGAGGGCUGCUUUGAUAGGGAAGUGGAUUUUUUUUUCUAUCCAUUUUCCGGUUCUGUGGCUGUAUUUUUCCAUCCUCUUUCCCAUGAAGGAAUAGAUCUCCAAUGGCUCUCUCACACUUUCCUCCCUCGCUUCCCUCCCUCCACUCUUCUUCCUCCUCUUCUCAUAGACCAGAAGCUGGCCCCAGUCAUGCCUCCCUUUUAUGUGGUGGGUCGGUUCUGUUGCGUCGUUUCAUGGUCUUGGACCGAGAGCCGCCUCAGUAGUCAACACCGAACCCUGGACCGUGAGACUAAUGGGAAAAGCAGAAUUCUUUCAAGUAAAAGGAAGUGGUUUGUGUUGUGGGGGGAAAAACUUGGAAAGAAACGACACCAAGAACACUAAGGGCUCUAUUCCCCUCACUCCCUACAGCUGGGUUAAUACAUUUCAAAAUAUUUAGUCAAUUGAGUUAAUUCCAUCAAACGGCUACUCGAUGCCGUAAAAAGGAAGGGAAAUAAACAGAUGGUUUUAGGAAGGACUGGCUUAGCUUUCUGCAACCUUGAUCUUACUCAUUUCUAGAGAAUGAGUUCAACUCUAAGGAAAUGUAAACAUGUCAUUGGCAAACCAUUACAAACUAAGUUAACAAGAAUGGAUUUUGAAAUGUAUAUUCAAGAUAGAUAUAUAUAUAUACAUACAUACAUACAUACAUACAUACAUACAUAUACUUGGUAAUAUAUAUGAUCCCAAGUGACGUUAGGAUAGAGCACAGGCAUGGAUUGUAUGAAGGGAAAAGAAAAGACUAAAAUUGAGAGAAAUUCUUUUCUUUCUUGUAUACUAAAAUCUGACCUGCAUGAUUCUAUCUUCUCAAAGCAACCUUAGGAGAUAGGCAAACUUACUAUUUCCAUUUUAUAAAAGGGGAAAAUAACAUUAGGCUCAGAGCAGUUUAAGGCACUUCCCACAAUGAUUAUUCUGUAAACGUGGGUAUAUUAGCUGGGCUCACUUUUAAUAUACAUAUUCAACUUACUAAAAGUGAAUGUAUAUGUAUAGUGAUAUGUAUAUGUAUAUCACUAGACUGGCUUGUAGGCUAUGGUCCAGGUACUUUAAUAGAUGUCUCCUGAUGCAAAAGGCUGAGAACCUGGUUGUAGUUCAGUUUACAAGGCUGGAUGUCUCAGCAGUGCCAGUUUGGCACUAGAGUCCUUCAGGGUUCCUGGGAAGCUACUGAUCUAAUACAGGUGAGGGGAUGCGUCAGCAAGGAGAUAGAUGAACUUGCCAGCAAGAGUGAAGGUAAGCAGGCAAAAAGCCGUUUCCUUCUUGCACGUCUUUCUGUGCAGCUAGCACGAGGGGUGGCCCAGAUUUAGGGCGGGUCUUCCACCUUUAAAUAGUGUGAUUAAGAAAAUCCCUCAGAGGAGCGGCCCAACGGCUUGGGUUUUAGUCGACUGAUUGUAAAUGUAGGUCAGAUUAGAGCCCCUGGAUCCACCGCAUUGUGGGUCCAGAGUUUCAAUCCCAACAGGUACAUUUCCCCUUACCUGAGAAGAGCACGGGACUGUGUCUUUUGAAUAACCUCAGCUCCAUUUCCUGUGCUCUCUGUGUCCUGUUGUAUUUUCCCUUUAAUUCUUUCCCACCCCUUCUGUUCUUCUUCUACACCCUUCAUCCUUUUAUUCUUUAAGUUUAUUUCUAUUGCCUUACUCUUGCCAUGCGGUUCAUCCUCAGCCCUCUAGACGAUCCCAUUGUAACAGUUUGGACGUUCAACCUCCUCCAGAGAACCUACCUAUGUUUAGACCAUUGUUCUCUCUGGCUGGUGACACUUGUGGGAAAUGGUGAACUUUUAGGGGUUAGGGAGGGGCUGUGGAAGGUCUUUGAGGAUGGGGAGGGGGCGGCAGCAUAUCCUGAAAGGUAUCACAGAGUUCCAGCCUCUUCUCUUUCCACAUCUUUAAUGGCCCUGAUGUGAAUGGUUUUACAGACAUCCCUACCACAGUUUUUUUUUGCCUGCUCAAGCCCAAAGCAUCAUGGUCAAUGGGUCACAGUUUAAAAAAAAAAUUCUUCAUCCCCCCGCUCAGCUCUUUGCAUCUCACUACAUCUUCUCCCAGGUCCAGCUUCUUGUCAAUCUUAUCUAUACUCCCCUAGCUUCUCCUUGCCUCAGUUAGAAAUCGCCAUCUUUCAUCACCAGAGAGGCCAAGUAUAAAUGAGAAUAGACUGGGUCAUUCUGCUCCCAUACAGAAAACACUGUAAUUAUAAAAAUGGAUUUGAUUCUGACAGAUAUCUCAUAAAUUGGGCUAUUGUUGAGCUUCAGAUGGUCUCUAGUGAAAGACGUGCCUCUCUCUCUCUCUCUCUCUCUUUCUCUCUCUCUCUCUCUCUCUCUCUCUCUCUCUCUCUCUCUCUCUCUCUCUCCCCCCUACCAGUAAGUAAGCUCUAGAUAGCAGAUAAAAGCCAAAUGAAGGUCUGUGAGAGCUAAACCUAAUGCAAUCCUGAUAUACAAUUCAUUUGUGGUAAACUCGAUAGAGUGCCUUGUGAUGUAGUACUUUGAACAAAGUCACAUUUAGCUCAAGUGACCAUAUUUUGAACUGGCCAAUAUAGAACAACAUAGGGUCAUCUCCCUGAAUCAAACCUGCUCCAUGGCUUUUCCUGGAAAUACCCCAAGAGCUCCAAAGACAGAUUCCAGAUUUCCAAGCUACUAGCAACAAAUGAACAUCUUUUCCUUGUGAGAUAAAUCACAGAACUCCCUCAUCAGCACAUGGUAGCAUUCUAACUUGAUCAGCCUCAUUACCAGAAAUAACUAAAGCAAAAUAAUGCUGUUCUUCAUGGAUGCUGGUAGGCCACGCUGUAAAGUCUUGCAGAAUCAUCAGAACUCAAGAGACAUGAAACUCCAUCUUGUGCUUACAAAGAAGCCAGCAUCAAUUUCAGACUCUCAUCUUCUUGCUUGCAUACAUGAACACUUUCCUUUCUCUGGGAACAGGUCCUGUGCCUAUGCUACCUGCUCUCCCAUUGACCCAGUUGGUUCAUGGCUUGCUAAAACUUUUCUAGCCAAAAUUUUACUUCAAGCUAUCUGUAUAUGAUGAUGGUGAUAACGAUGAUGAUGAGUUUUUUUAAUUCUUGAUUCUACUUACCUUCAUUGUAAUUUCCCAUUUACAAUUGCACUUAAACCCUAAGUGUAAUUAGGUAACUAACUAUUGCUGUGAUAUGUUGCCAGUUCAUUGACUACCCAUGAGCCAACAAACCACUUGCUUUGGGGUUAGAUAUUCAUACCUGGUCUACUUAACAACGAGAAAAAAAUUUUUUUAAACAAAAUAAAAUUCUUGAGAGUUCCUCAUGUGUCAGGCAACUUCACAGAGUUCUUGGGAUACAAUGGUGACCCCAAAACAAGCACUAUCCCUGUCCUUAGUUCUCAUGACUAGGGGUAGGUCAAGGGAAAGAUAUAUGAAUAAAGUAGUCAUGGUACUGAAUAUAAUAUUCCCAACCUAAGUAUGUCCUAUGAGGAGAAACUUAUGAAUGACCAGGAAAAAACCAAACCAAACCAAACCAAACCAAAAACCCUCAGUAUUGCCAAGUUCCAGAAAUCUCUUGGAAAAACACAUACUUAUGCAUAGCAUAAUGGAGAUUCUGAGCAAACUCCAGAAGCAUGUUGCAUUACACAUACACACAUAUGUAUGAAAUAUGUGUGUAUGUGUGUGCUUGUGUGUGUAUUGUCUUAGUCUGAAGGCUUUGCCCAGAUAGCACUGAAUACACACUGAUUUAAACUUAAAUCUCCAUUGUGCAUCUAUUUCUCACUUGCAAAGGCUAGCAAUAUGAUACUACAACUUCGCCAAGCUACUCCAAGUUGUAGUCACUCUUAGUUCCAAAUCUAUUAAUUUUUUUUUUAAAGACUCCGGUGGAAGGUGAAAGCCAGUGUUUACUCCCACGUUUCAACCAACCUGUGUGACCACAGGGAACCAGCCCUAGGAACCAACAGGCAGACCGUAAGGACUAUCUUUUCAAACUCUGAAAUUUUCCUAAACCCCAGUCCAGUGUUGGUCAAACGCUUUACAACCUCUAUUUGUCCCUAGGCAGUUGCCUGUGCCUGGAAUUCCUGCACCAAGGUACCCUUGUGGUAUUUUUAAUAGUGUUGUUUGAUGCUGUAGCCAGCUUUUCUGCGGUUUGAGAGUUAAAUGGGAUACAGUGAUGUGGUGUGCUAUAAUAGCUCUUGGAGGAAUGUUAAGACAAAUUAAAGUCCAAGUGAGAUAGCACCUGAAGGAACCUGGUCCUU
rnacentral:lncRNA from 1 species